rnacentral:rRNA from 1 species
GUCGUGAGACAGGUUUGUUGCUUUUCGAUGGAAGUGUGUUGGUGCCUGACGAGAAGAGUCCUUUAGUACGAGAGGAACAGGGACUCGUGGCCUCUAGUUGAUCAGUUGUCUGGCAAGGCAUUGCUGAGCAGCCACGCCAUCGCGGAUAAGAGCUGAAAGCAUCUAAGCUCGAAGUCGCCUCGAAAAAGAGGCACCUUACAGCACCCGUAAAUGACGGGUUUGAUAGGACCGGGAUGUACGCAC